rnacentral:lncRNA from 1 species
UUUCAAGAAUCCUUGAUCAUUACCGUCCUGCGACCACCAACGAAAAAGAAAAAAGAAUUGUUUUUUGGGGGAAAUUUAUCGUUCACUCAUAGUAAAAAUUUGCUGUUAGUUGAUAUUAUCUGUUAUUUAAUAAUUGAAAUCCUAUUCUGGUGAUUCUACAUGGCAUUUGGUCUUCUGAGGAAUUUGGUUUAGAUGCAUUAUUGAUUUAGUCCCUUCAAGCUCGAAUUAUUUGCUGCAUUGUUGUCCCCUCAGACUACGUAAUCUUAUGAUUUAUAUGAGAUGGCCGUGAUAAUUUUUGUAUUAGUAAAAAAUGUAAAAUUGUGAUUAUGAACUUGUGCUACUGUAAUAGUUAAGUGAUUUUGAUGACAUGGAUUGGAAGAAAAAUAUGGCAAAAUUAUAAUGCUAAAAUGGUUAUAAGUAUGCUGGACAAUUCGAAAUGAACAUUUCUUAGGAAGCAUUACAGUAGCUAUUGAUAAGGUGAUAAAAGGAUGGUGAACUCUUUAUAAGUUAAAAUGCAAACCUUUCUGAGUUAAUCUCUAUUGUGGAGUUUACAGCAAUGCCAUUUCUGCCUUUUGAGGAUGGUUGGUGCACACAUCCAACAAGCUCUAAGCCUACCUCAUGAAGGUUAUUGGAUGUGGCAAGGAUACUUGUUGAAAUAUACAGGAAAAUAUUGAGGCACCUGUUUUUAACUAUGAGAUUUUCCACAUAUGAUGGGGCACGUGUGUGUGUUUGACUUUUUAUGGAUGUGUUGAUGCUUGCUACAAGCCUACAACAAUGAUAAUUAAAAUUUCUGUUGACAUUUGAAAUAAGUACCUUAUGGUGUUGGUUGGAGAUGUCAUUUACUAAAUUUUGAGGUAAGUACUGGAUUUGGAUAAAGAUGUAUUCUGAUUGAAAUAAAAAUUUGUCUCAUCACCAAGUUUUUGAUGGUGGAUGGUUGUUUCAUUAGAAGAAGGGUGUGAAGCAAAAUAAUCCUCCUUUCAAUAAGGUUUAUACUUUUUAUGAUAUGAUAUUUACGAAGUCAACAAAGGUAAGUCGACACUCUAAUGUAGAAUUAACUGAAUUACAAUAGCCUUUUGCUGUAUCAUAUAUGUCAUAUCUGAAUUCUUAUGCAUGAAAGGUCAUCAGUUUAAGUCUAGGUUAGCCAUGACCCAACUAGAAAUCAACCUUUGUUGUGUCUAAAAUAAUUGCAUAUAAUGCAAUGUAUCAUGAUUUAUUACUUUUGUAUGAUAACAUCUGUGGUUUUAUAGUAGUGUCAAAUUGCUGGACAAUAUCCUUCCCCUUUUCAAUUCCCUUUCUGGACAAACAUAAAAAUGAUGACCUAAAUAUUGUACGUGCAUACGCAUGUGUAUGUGUGUGUGUGUGUGUUAUGUCCAGGUGCCUAGAUUUUUGUUGGUCUGUCAUCUCCAAUACGACAAUAUUUUGAUACUUGGCAGCAAUGCCAAGAAUCCCAAGUAACUCUGGGUUCUGGGGGACUUAGAGAGUGUGCGAAACCGGAAAAGGAGGGUUAAGGACUAAGAGGUUGGAAGAGAUGGGACUCUCCUAGGGAUAUUGUGUUAGAAAUAUCAAACAAGGCAGAAAUUUGUUGAUGUUUAGUUUGUAUUGUGCAGGAUAACACUGUGCAUUUAUUUGAUGGUUAUAAACCCACAUUCCUUAUGGAAGAUGCAGCUAGGAAAGAGCUUUGUAUUUGUAUCUUAGGAGUUUGAAGGCAUUAUGUUGCUAUUCUUUGCUUUUGUACCUUUUUGAAAGAUAUUGCUUUUUCCCUUCAUAUCUCUGUAAAUUGCUGGUUCUAAAUUGUAAUAUCAUAAUAACAUCUAGUUAUAUUUUCUUGAUGUCAUUAAUAGUCUUGAGCUGAUAAGAAUUUGGUUGUCGCUAGCAGAUUUAUUUGUGACAUAUGGUGGCAAGAGUUUACUGAAACAUGUGAGCUGUUACAAUUCAAUUUCUUCAUUGAAAAGUAGCAGGUCAAUUUUAAUGUGAUGGUAUAGGAUAAAAUCUAGUUUUAUUCACAGUUGCUGGAAGGGAAAUUGACGCAGGAUGGAGGUGGGAUGGUUGCUCUGAUACCAAACUGGUGCAGUAGGAGAUGGGUUGCAGAAUUUCUCCCUCCUUUGGCAAUGGUGGCUAGGGUUCUUUGUGGGUGGAAGGGAGGAGGGUGGAGCCUUCAAAAGUACUUCUGCAAAAUUGGCCGUAUGCUGUCAGCUGAGCUAGGGUCGACUCGAAUUGAGCUGGGGUCGACUCGACCAAUGUUGGGGUUGACUCGAGAUCUGGGGAGUCGGCUCUCGCAGAGUUUUUAGAGAACAAGCUUUCUGUCUUUCAGCUGGGGUCGACUCGAGUAUCCUUAGAGUCGACUCGAGAUCUGGGGAGUCGACUCUUUCAGAGAAUUCAAAAGACUUGGAGUGGGGAUUCUAAAGGAAACGACGAGGGUUUGGGCGUGAGGAGUUGGCUGGAUGCUGAUGUGGCAAUCUAAGAAGGCGUGAGCAAAGGGAGGCUUGAAUUAAGGAAGGGAUAAGGAUAAGUUGGUUGUAGGAAUCUCACCCAAACCAAUCUCAUCAAGGCGUGAGAGGAAGAGGCGUCUCACCCCUUUCCUUCAGCCUAGUGGCGUCACACCAAAGAAGGGGAGAGUCUCUUUCACGUAGGCAAGGAUUUCCUUUCAAAAACAACACUUAAGAAUUCUAAUUUUUAUUCUUCAUACCUUUCUUUAUAUAGAAAGGGAGGUUGGAAAAGAUAAGGACUACAACCAAAAUUUAGUUAGACUCCUAACCACAUGAGGACUCUUUUAAAAUUUAAAUUUCCUAAUUGACCAAUCAAACACCUUAUCACCUAACUCUUGACACCCAUGAAUCCUUAUCUUGGGUGUGUGGAUUGAAACUCCACUAGGCACAACUCAACCACACGCCAUGACUCCUUCCAUACGCAUGGGAUCAAGUCCAAAUUUCCUAAAACUCUCUCCCAUAUGACAUGUGAUCAAUCCUAAUUAAUCAAAGACGCAUUCAACACCUUGGACUCAAUCUGAUUAGGCAUUGAAGGCACUAACCCAUUGUGAAUUAAAUCACUUAUUACAUGGACUUAAUCACACUACUACUUGGACUUAAUUUUUUCUCACACACCUAGACCCAAUGUGUCACGCCCAAGGGAAUGAGGGUGAUGCUCCUGCAUCAAUUCCCUCCGGCUGGAAAAAGACUCGACUCUGUCGAGUUUCGCGACUGGUAGAGCUCGUAGAGGUCCGGUUCAGCCGUUGGACUUCCUCUGUCUUCAACCAUGAGCAAUCUGAAAUUGGUCUGUUCUUCCAUUUAACUAAAAAUUUCUGAUAUCCUCCUCGGCUUGUGGACACGAUCUAAUCAUCCAAGAUGUCUUCAAUGUUGUCUUUAGGGGCUGAUCGACAUGGUAGUGAUGGUGGUACGGCUGGAGGGUCUUCAUCUUCUGCAUAGUGACCUUCAUAGAGCUGCAGGUUUUCAACGUUGAAGAUUGGGCUGACCUGCAAGUUUUCAGGCAAAUCAAGCACAUAUGCAUUAGGUACCAAUCGUUUUAGCACCUUGAAAGGGCCGGCGCGACGAGGAUGAAGCUUCUGAAAAAUUCUGUGGAAAAAACGAUUAGCACUCUACCGCAUCAUCACAAGGUCUCCUUGAAUUCUAAGGGACGUCGCUUCAAGUCUGCUUAUUGUUUAUAAAUCUCGGUGUUGGUGACCAAACGACGUCGAACUUCAGCAUGGAUGUUUUGUAUGUGCCUAGCAAAAUUCUCACCACCUUCGCUGGUCCUCGUGUUGAUGGAAAGUGGAAUGAGAUCAAUGGGCUGUCGCGGCUUCAACUCGAGAACAAUCUCGAAAGGUGACAAUCCUGUGGUUCGGUUGACACUGCUGUUGUAGGCAAACUCGGCAUGGGGCAAAAUCAGAUCCAUGACUUCGCAUGAUCCCGGACUAAGCAUCGAAGAAGAUUUUCAAGACUGCGGUUGACCACCUUGGUCUGCCCAUCGGUUUGGGGAUGAUAGGCGUUGGAGAAAGAAAAACGGAUGCCAAGCUUUGCCCAAAGUAUCUUCCAAAAAUAGCUAAUGAACUUGAAAUCAUGAUCAGAUACAAUGGUCUUCGGUAGCCCAUGUAAGCGAAUCACUUCUUUCAAGAACAAAUCAGCAACUCGGAAUACAUCAUAAAUUUUUGCAAAUGGCACAAAGUGAGCUAUCUUGGAAAACCUGUCAACAAUCACAUUGAUUGAAUUGUGGCCUCGAACUGUCUUUGGCAAACCCAAAACGAAAUCCAUACUGAGAUUUUUCCAUGGUGAACAUGGCAAGGGCAGGGGAGAAUAAAGAUCGGCAUUAGUCUUGGAUCCCUUGGCAAGUUGGCAAAUGCGACACUGCUUGAUGAUUCGAUUAACGUCCUUCCAUAAUGUUGGCCAAUAGAAUCGAUCUUCCACCAUGCUGAUAGUCUUAUCACGGCCAAAAUGUCUUGCAAGACCUCCACCGUGAACCUCUCUAAUGAUGUAAUCUGGAAGUGAAGACUCCGGGACACAUAGGCGAGUGCCACGAAAGAGAAAACCGUCAUGCACUGAAAAUUCUGGAUGCUGUCGCCGGUCUCCUACUAAAAUCUCCGCAAAUAUGGACUGAAAUUGGGCAUCAGUAGGGUAUAAAAUUUUCAGAUCAUCAAACCCUAUUACCUCCGCUUUCAAUAGAGUUAGAAUAUGUGACUUUUGGCUAAGAGCAUCAGCGACACGGUUCUCUGCACCUGGCCUAUGUUUCAGCAUGAACGUAAACUGCUGCAGCACCCCUACCCACCUGGCAUGCCGUGCACUCAACUUCUUUUGGGAGUUGAUGUGCUUCAGAGAGUCGUGGUCGGUGUACAUGACGAACUUCCGGUGUAGGAGGUAGUGCCUCCAAUGUUUAAGGGUCUAGCCCACGACGUAGAACUCGAUGUCGUAUGUGGAAUAUCAGCGCUUCGCAUCAUUGAGCUUAUCGCUGUAGAAGGCGAUGGGAUGACCUUCUUGGCUUAGAACUCCAUCAAUUCCAAUGUGGGAUGCGUCACAAGCAACCUCAAAUACCUGAUCAAAAUUUGGAAGUCGAAGAAUUGGGGCUUGUGCUAGGAGUACCUUGAUGUCUUCAAAUGCUUUGGUGGCCGUCGGAGUCCAAUGAAAGGAAUCAACCCGCAUACAGUUUGUGAUUGGGGCCAUUAUGCUGUUGAAGUUCCUUAUGAAUCUUCGGUAGAAGGAUGCCAGAUCAUGGAAGCUCCUCACCUCAUGCACGUUGCGGGGUAUAGGCCACUCUCGAAUAGCUUUAAUCUUUUCUGGAUCGGCAGCGACUCCAUUAGCUGAAAUUAUGAAACCGAGGAAGGAAACUUGUGGUUCGGCAAAGAAGCACUUCUUCAAGUUGAUUUAAAGCUUUUCUGAUCUGAGGGUGUGAAGCACUUGGCGAAGAUGUUGCUGGUGUUCCUAGGGCUGGAAGUGGGCUCGGGCCGGCCCGAAGUCCAUCGGGUCGGGCUGCCCUCGGGCCGGGCUAUGGGCUAGGCUCAAUGAAUUUUGGGCCGGGCUCGGGCUGAAUGAUUAAGCCCAUAUCUAUUUCGGGCUGGGCUCGGGUAUUUCAUUGGCCCGGCCCGGGCCCGUCCAAGCCCGAGCCCACACCCAGCUCGACUCGCAUGCCCGAAUCGCAGCUAAACACGUAAAGACGGAAAAAAGAACCAAAAACCUUGGUAAAAGGCGGAAACCUCACCGGAUCGCCCUUCUCUCCUCCGCUCGCCCAAAAACCUCUAAAAGACACCAUAACGAAACAAGCCAACGGAGGCGGAAUUUAAAGAAACCAUCGCCGGGGAAUGGAUUACGCCAUAUGGCAAGGAGGCGUCGGAGGCGAAGAAGGGGAUUCCACGAAGUGAUCCCCUCGGCAUCCGUGCCGUGCGCGAGCGUCCACCCCUUCUUUUUCCCUCCAAUGCAAGCAAGAACUCCCCACCCCACCCCUCACCCUCCCUGCCGCAAUAGAAUAUUAUAUUCCCUCAUUCGUACUCAUAACUCAAGUUGGGUAAUUCUGACAGAGUUCGAAGGGAAACCCUUAGACAAACUGCUCCUCCGUCGCGAGUGCCACAGAUUCUAACCGUGACCGCGACGCCGCCGGACUCUAUGGCUGCCUCCUUCGCCGGCAUCCGAGCUCCGAUCCCUCGCCGGCGAUGGAAAAGAGAGAGGAAAUAAGUCGGCGGUUUUAGAGUUUAUUUAACAUUGGAACUGGCUGUAAACAACUCCUGUAAACUGGGCCGGGCUCGGGAUCGGGCUCGUCAUCGGGCUGGCCCAAACGGGCCUCGGCCCGGCCCGAAGCCCGAAAAAAAAUUUCGGGCCGGGCUUGGGUAGGGGUGUGGCCCGGCCCGGCUCGGCCCACUUCCAGCCCUAGGUGUUCCACAUGGCCACGACUGAAAAUCAAUGUCAUCAAAAUAAACAACUACAAAGCGCCCAAUGUACGGUUUCAGCACUUGAUUCAUGACUCGCAUGAAGGUGCUUGGCGCAUUAGAGAGGCCUAUGGGCAUAACCAUCCAUUCAAAGAGUCCAUCCUUGGUCUUGAAUGUUGUUUUCCACUCGUUCUCAUGUCUGAUUCUAAUCUAGUGGUAGCCGCUUCGAAGGUCUAACUUCGAGAAGAUGAUGGCUCUAUUCAACAAAUGCAGCAUGUCGUCAAGUCGCGGGAUCGAAAAACGGUACUUUAUUGUAAUCUUGUUGAUUGCCGUGCUGUCUACAAAUAUCCUCCAUGAACCAUCCUUCUUGGGAGUAAGUAAAGUCGGGACGGCACAUAGGAUGAGGCUCUCUCGGAUGAAUUCCUUAUCCAAAAGUUCUUGAACUUGGCAGUGAAGCUCUUCGUGUUCUUUAGGAUUCAGCCGGUAUGCAGGAAGAUUCGGUAAGCUUGAACCGGACACCAAAUCUAUGGCAUGUUGGAUGUCCCUCAUCGGUGGAAGCUCCUUGGGAAGCUUCUUAGGUGUUACAUUAGAAAAAUCAUCCAAUAUAGACUUGAAAUCAGGAGGAACAACUUCUGAAAUUUCAGCUCCAACUUUUCUAGCCACUAGUGCAUACGAGCUUCAAUCUCUCGGCUACAAGCUUCAAACUUUCUCAUAGUUAAAACUCAUUGGAUUAUCAGAUUUUUAGGAGCAAAAUCAGUGAUCUGAAGGGGCUUUAAUACAAUUCUUUUGUUGGUACAAUAUAGAGAAUAAUAAUUAGAUCGACCGUUAUACUCGACACUACGAUCAUACAACCAUGGUCUUCCUAGAAGAUGGCACGCCUUUAUGGGUAGAACAUCGCACCAUACUUCAUCUCGGAAGUUUUUACCAAGUGAAAACUGAUCAAGCAUUUUUGUUUAACAGGGAUGGAGGAGUCUUCGAUCCAACUUACUCGAUACGGCUUUGGAUGUGGUACCGAUUUCAGAUUCAGCUUUUUCAGCACAUUUUUGGAUAUGAUAUUCAUGCAGCUUUCAUUGUCAAUAAUAAGGUUUAGGGACUUGUUGGCAUGCUCGAUGCGAGUGUGGAAGAUAUUGGUGCGCCUCCAAUCUUCCUCCACGUUCUCCUCCUGUUUGCAGCCCGUAAGAAUCCGUCGUACGACGCACACGGAUAGAUCCGAAGCUUUUAACUCAACCGCAGGGGCUUCUUCAUCAUGUUCUUCGCUUCCUUCAUUUUCUUCUUCAUUAGCGGGCUGAGAGGAAGGAGGAACUUCAGAAGGCCCUAUGAUCUCGUCUUCCUCACAUACCAACGCAAAACGUUGGUCUUAGGUGGGGCAAACGAUGGCGAAAUGGCCUUGCCCGCCACACUUGUAGCAUUCAACAGAGUUCUUUCCUUGCGGCGUAGAUUGUGGCAUAGGACCUUUACCUUUUUCAUUGGCCCUUGGGGCACCUCUAUCCUGAUAUGUACUUCGAUUAAUAGAGGUUUCAGAUGUGAAAACAAGGGCGUUACCUCGUGGAAAAGGAACUCCUUGGUUGGUGCUGCGUUCGAAAAACCAUCGUACAACCGGUGCUUGCGCAGGGCGCCUUUGUCGCAGCUGUGAUUCAACUCGAAUGGCGAGUUGGUAUGCCUCCUCUAGGUUGAAGAAGCGCGUCAUCAUCAACUCCCUUCUAAUGUCAUCUCUCAGCUCGGAUCGGUACCGAGUUAGGGGCUGUCGCUCUGUCUCUGUGAGGUUGCUGCGGAUCAACUCAUGGAACCGGGCCGUAUACUCCUCUACGGAAGAGUUUCCUUGACGAUGUUUCAGAAGUUCUUCGAAGAGUGUCUCCUUAUAGUUGAGGAAAAGAAACUUCUCCUUCAGACGAAAUUUCAUCUCCUUCCAAUCAUUGAUAGGGGGUUGUCGGAGUCGAUGAAGCUUUUCUUCAACACUAUGCCACCAUAUGCGUGCUUAGCUCUUUAGCUUCAUCUUUACGAAUCGCACCUUGGUUUCAUUGGACAUGCUGAACUACUCGAAGUCAUCUUUGAGGGACAUCAGCCAAUCCUGAAAGUGGGUUGGGUCCAUGCUUUCACUAUAAUCAGCAACUUCUACGCGAACCUGCUUCAUGGCUUCAUCGGAGUUGUUGUGCUCCUACUGAUUUUGAUGAACAUAGGGGUUCCUGAAAUUAUUUUCCAUACGAGGAAUAUUUGGAGGUGGCAUCCGCUGGCCCUUAGGUGGUCUUUGGGGUGAUAGGCCCCUUGGGGAGAAAGCCUCAACAUCGGGUUCACGUCCGAACGGCACUUCUAAAUUUUCAGGGUGUGCAGGAACGCCAUGAUCAUCUUCAAGAUUGUUUGGCUCGGGAAGGAGGCGAUCCCAAACGGUGUCCACCUUCUGAUUCAAGGUAGCCACUUGCUGGGUGAGUUCAUGCACGGCUUUAGCAAGUUGCCUCUCCAGAUUGUAGGGGUGUUCGCUGCGAGUGCUCAUGAUGAUCUUCGCUUUGAUACCAAUUGUUGCAGGACGGAGGUGGGAUGGUUGCUCUGAUACCAAUUGACGCAUGACGGAGGUGGGAUGGUUGCUCUGAUACCAAACUGGCGCAGUGGGAGAUGGGUUGUAGAAUUUCUCCCUCCUUUGGCAAUGGUGGCUAGGGUUCUUUGUGGGUGGAAGAGAGGAGGGUGGAGCCUGCAAAAGUACUUCUGCAAAAUUGGCCGUAUGCUGUCAGCCGAGCUGGGGUCGACUCGACCAAUGUUGGAGUCGACUCGAGAUCUGGGGAGUCGGCUCUCGCAGAGUUUCCAGAGAAUAAGCUUUCUGUCUUUCAGCUGGGGUCGACUUGAGUAUCCUUGGAGUCGACUCGACUAAACUUGGAGUCGACUCGAGUAUCCUUGAGUCGACUCGAGAUCUGGGGAGUCGACUCUUUCAGAGAAUCCAGAAGACUUGGAGUGGGGAUUCUAAAGGAAACAAGGAGGGUUUGGGUGUAAGGAGUUGGCUGGAUGCUGAUGUGGCAGUCUAAGAAGGCGUGAGCAAAGGGAGGCUUGAAUUAAGGAAGGGAUAAGGAUGAGUUGGUUGUGGGAGUCUCACCCAAACCAAUCUCAUCAAGGCGUGAGAGGAAGAGGUGUCUCACCCCUUUCCUUCAGCCUAGUGGCGUCACACCAAAGAAGGGGAGAGACUCUUUCACGUUGGCAAGGAUUUCCUUUCAAAACUACACUUAAGAAUUCUAAUUUUUAUUCUUCAUACCGUUCUUUAUAUAGAAAUGGAGGUUGGAAAAGAUAAGGACUACAACCAAAAUUUAGUUAGACUCCUAACCACAUGAGGACUCUUUUAAAAUUUAAAUCUCUUAAUUGACCAAUCAAACACCUUAUCACCUAACUCUUGACACCCAUGAAUCCUUAUCUUGGGUGUGUGGAUUGGAACUCCACUAGGCACAACUCAACCACAUGCCAUGACUCCUUCCAUACGCAUGGGAUCAAGUCCAAAUUUCCUAAAACUCUCUCCCAUAUGACAUGUGAUCAAUCCUAAUUAAUCAAUGACACAUUCAACGCCUUGGACUCAAUCUGAUUAGGCAUUGAAGACACUAACCCAUUGUGAAUUAAAUCACUUAUUACAUGGACUCAAUCACACCACUACUUGGACUUAAUUUUUCCACACUCACCUAGACCCAAUGUGUCACGCCCAAGGGAAUGAGGGUGAUGCUCAUGCAUCAGAAACUGAUGCAAAAAAUAAUGAAAGAGCAACCAACGGGAACAAUGGAUGAGAAAAGUCGCUAAUGCUAGAGAUAGGAAAUGUGAUCAUGGAACAAACAAGUGGAUUGUAAAAAAUGUAUGCAAAAGUAUGUGGAGACCAUGGAGAAACAACUAAGAAACUAGUUUUCAGUGGGUUUCCGGUAGUUUCUCUAUGAAGGGCCUUGUGGUAAAUGACAAUAAGUUAACUUUAUGAAACUUGUAAAGAAACUCCUCUUUUCAUAUUGUUCAAUUUCUUCCUAUGAUAAAAAAACAAAAGGUUUAAUGUUUGAUUUUCACAACCAUGAAGGAGGCCGGUUUGUGAAACUUAGAAAAGCAAAUUUAUGAUCCAAUACAUUAUCCUCCUUUUCCUGCCAUACUCAUGUAGGGUUUGUGAUGUAGGACAGCAGGUGGUUAGUGCUGUUUUUGUGCGAUGGUGGACCUUGGAGCAAGGGAUUAGGGUUACAGGGCAAAGGAUUUUAGGGUUUUAUGAGGAGGAAACAAAGCUUUUGAAGUUUCUUUCUAAAGGUAAUAAUGGAUAACAAGGCUUUUGGUGGUGUUAAGGGAUCAAAGUAGUGUAACCCAAGUAUAUAACAAUCCAAAUAUAAUCAGAUUCUAGUUCAGUCAGCAAUUGCAUUAAAUAAAAGCAGAAAAUACAAUAAAAGGAAAAAGAGUAGAAAAUAGAAAGGGGAGGAAAGAAGAAAAAUAUGCAGAAAGAAUAAGACAAAAGGGAGGGAACAGCCUGACCUUGGCUCUCUUUUUUCUUCAAUCCAAUUAACUCAAAAAGCUCUCCCUCAAACAAGAAGAUUACAACUUUUAUAUAGACUCAAAAAGUCAAAUCCCUAACAGCACUAAAUCUGGAUCCUUGAAUCAAAAAAAGAAAUCCUAGCCAUCAAUUAAACAUAAGAGAGAGAAAAGAUAAAAUACACAUCUCCAAAUAAGUUGCUGCUAUUGUACCAUGAACAGUCUCUGUUACAGUACCAUGAACAGUACCUGCUAUAGUAUCAGUACAAUGGCUCGACAUUAAAAUCUUUUUGAACAUCUCUACAACUCUUCAUUGUAACAUGAGCUCUUGGGACCUUCAAACUAAUGGGUGUAUGGGCUAUUAUAUGAAAAUUUUGUUGCACGUUGAUCUCAUGCCCAAAACUAUGAUUUGAGCCUUAGUUACAGGAAGAAGGUCCAGUGUAGGUAU